rnacentral:rRNA from 1 species
AGAGUGAACGCUGGCGGUAGGCCUAACACAUGCAAGUCGAACGGCAGCACAGUGGUAGCAAUACCAUGGGUGGCGAGUGGCGGACGGGUGAGGAAUACAUCGGAAUCUACCUUUUCGUGGGGGAUAACGUAGGGAAACUUACGCUAAUACCGCAUACGCCCUUCGGGGGAAAGCCGGGGAUCGCAAGACCUGGCGCGGAUAGAUGAGCCGAUGUCGGAUUAGCUAGUUGGUGAGGUAAUGGCUCACCAAGGCGACGAUCCGUAGCUGGUCUGAGAGGAUGAUCAGCC